UUUAGCCUCUAACAAAAUAGUUCUCUGACUACCUCUACCGGUUUUUCCUGAAGAUGCGCCCCAGGCGGUGUCAGCCUGAGAGCGAGAGAGAGAGAGAGAGAGAGAGAGAGAGAGAGAGAGACAACCCAUGCAGCCCAUUGGAUUAGACAUAACACUUUCUCUUUUUUAACUACUUAUCAAACAGUCUGGAGAAUUCUUAUUAUGCUUGUUCAUCAGGAUUUGCAUUAUAAUAGAAACUCUAAGCCUGGAUAGAGACACAUUUGUGUGCAGGACUCUCUCUCUCUCUCUCUCUCUGUCUCUAUCGCUCUCUCACUCUCACGGGUGGGUGUGUCUUCGUGUCUCAACACGGCAUGCUCCGGUUGACAGACAGCUGCACUCACCUCUUUUACCUGCCAGGUGAAACACGCAGCGAGGCUCCGUUCUCUGCAGCUCGGCCGUCCCUCUCUCUCAGGCCUCUUCGCGCCGCCGGUGUCGGGUCAGAUCUGCAGCAGUUCCAUUACCCGCGCAGCUGGAAACUUUGCCUGGGAAUUUCUGUGCUCAAAAAUUUCAGUCAUUGUUUCUGGUCGUGUGUGUCGUGUGCAUCCGAGACAAGGCCACCGUGGACACCUUUGGGUGGAUCUGAGCUGGUGGAUUGUUCUCAAGCUAAGCUGCAAAAAGAGGCGUCCAGUCAGAAACAUCACAAGGUCACAGAGAAUCUGAAAACAUCUGUUGAAGCAGCAGUGGAAACCUCAAGCUUCCUGCCAAAUACUGGUAGCGCUGUAUAAUGCUCCUUUCAAUAAAUCCUGUUUUUAUUUAUGGUUUUAUAAGUGAAGGUGGAUUCACAAGUGUCCUGUAGCUGCUUCUAGCAGCAGCAGCCGCUUUUUUGGUUAUGGAGAUGUGGCCUCCAGUACUACUGAGGGCAUGGCAGUGGUGUUGCCACAUGUAAAUGGAGCAUCACUAUGUCAGGUAUGCUGGCGAACCAGCUCCAACAGUCGACGAUGGGCGUAGCUGCACUUUCCUUUCAGAGUGGCAUGAUUAAUUAAAAACUGUGCAAGGCUGAUGAUCACAAGACAAUUGUGGUUGAGUGAACAGAAGGAGCAUAAUAAUCUGUAGACUCCAAAAACAAACCAGUUACAGAGUUACAGUAUACUGUAUGUGUGAUAAUAAAGUCCCAUUCAGAGACCGGA